CUUGGUGGUUAUACCGGAUGUGCAACACACCUUCCCAUUCCGAACAGGACCGUGAAAAACUCCAGGGCUGAUGGUACUUCGUCUUAAGACGCGGAAGAGUAAGUCGCUGCCAAGU
rnacentral:rRNA from 1 species